CACCACACCCUUGAGACGCUGCAGGACUGUGUUCAGAAGUGUAACGGCGGUGCCAUGGGUGUGGACCUAUAAAUCUAGCGGAUCUCCGCUGUUCACAGCAGUCUGACUAGAGUGUAACGGUCAUCUACUUGACCUCAGCUACAGCAAGAAAGAUGAACAAAAUCAUUUUCGGCUUCUCUGCAGUCGUUCUGUAUUUGGCAGCAGUUCAGGCCCUGGAGUGUUAUGACUGUAAACUGGGAUUCGGGAGUCUUUGCUUCACAACCAAAACGACAUGUGAUGCUGGUCAGCAGUGCUUCAGUGGAUUAGGGACGGCUGCUGGUGUUGUGGAUAUUAAGAUGAAAGGAUGUCUCGAAGUGUCCAAAUGCAAUAAAACUGAACAGGUGAAUUUCCCGUCCAACUCAAGCACACAGAUAUACAAGAUGACGAAGACAUGCUGUUCUACUGACCUGUGUAACUCAGCUCUGGGUCACUUCUCUGCUGUCAGCAUGGCCUUCACUACCAUCACUUCUGUGUUCAUGCUCAAAUUCCUCAUUUGAGGAGGAUUAUUUCAUCUCACACACACACACACACACACGCACACACACACAAACACAUACACACACACACACACACACUUUUGUUUUUGUGAAUUGUGGGGACAUUCCAUAGGUGUAAUGGUUUUUAUACUGUACAAACCGUAUUUUCUAUCCCCCUACACUACCCCUACCCCUAAACCUACCCAUCACAGGAAACUGUGCACACUUUUACUUUCUCACAAAAACUCAUUCUGUAUGAUUAAUAAGCCUUUUGAAAAAUGGGGACAUGGGGUAAUGUCCUCAUAAGUCACCUCUUCUUGUAAUACCUAUGUCAUACCCAUGUCAUUAUACACAUUUGUGUCCUGAUAUGUCACAAAAACGCGGGCACACACACACUUCAAAGACACUUAUGACAACUUCUAGAUGUUGUAGCCCAUCAAGGUGGUGUUUCAUAUCAAAUUACUCCUAGUUUAAUGAGUCACACUUUGGUGGACAUCACCAUCUCAUAGAAGGCAUUGUAUGUGUUGUGUUAUAGUGUCCUUAUAUUCGUGUCUGAAUGGAAAGCGGUGAUAUUUGAAUGUGACUGUAAACUGUAUUUAAUAAACAACAUGAGACAGUG